rnacentral:rRNA from 1 species
UACAGAGGUCCCGAGCGUUGUUCGGAUUCAUUGGGCGUAAAGGGUGCGUAGGCGGCGGGGCAAGUCUGAUGUGAAAUCCCGGGGCUCAACCCCGGAACUGCAUUGGAUACUGCCUUGCUAGAGUACUGGAGAGGGAACUGGAAUUUACGGUGUAGCAGUGAAAUGCGUAGAGAUCGUAAGGAAGGCCAGUGGCGAAGGCGGCUACCUGGACAAUUGCUGACGCUCAGGCACGAAAGCGUGGGGAGCAAAAGGG